GACGAACGCUGGCGGCGUGCUUAACACAUGCAAGUCGAACGGAAAGGCCCUGCUUUUGUGGGGUGCUCGAGUGGCGAACGGGUGAGUAACACGUGAGUAACCUGCCCUUGACUUUGGGAUAACUUCAGGAAACUGGGGCUAAUACCGGAUAGGAGCUCCUGCUGCAUGGUGGGGGUUGGAAAGUUUCGGCGGUUGGGGAUGGACUCGCGGCUUAUCAGCUUGUUGGUGGGGUAGUGGCUUACCAAGGCUUUGACGGGUAGCCGGCCUGAGAGGGUGACCGGCCACAUUGGGACUGAGAUACGGCCCAGACUCCUACGGGAGGCAGCAGUGGGGAAUAUUGCACAAUGGGCGGAAGCCUGAUGCAGCAACGCCGCGUGCGGGAUGACGGCCUUCGGGUUGUAAACCGCUUUCGCCUGUGACGAAGCGUGAGUGACGGUAAUGGGUAAAGAAGCACCGGCUAACUACGUGCCAGCAGCCGCGGUGAUACGUAGGGUGCGAGCGUUGUCCGGAUUUAUUGGGCGUAAGGGCUCGUAGGUGGUUGAUCGCGUCGAAAGUGUAAUCUUGGGGUUUAACCCUGAGCGUGCUUUCGAUACGGGUUGACUUGAGGAAGGUAGGGGAGAAUGGAAUCCCUGGUGGAGCGGUGGAAUGCGCAGAUAUCAGGAGGAACACCAGUGGCGAAGGCGGUUCUCUGGGCCUUUCCUGACGCUGAGGAGCGAAAGCGUGGGGAGCGAACAGGUUUAGAUACCCUGGUAGUCCACGCUGUAAACGGUGGGUACUAGGUGUGGGGUCCAUUCCACGGGUUCCGUGCCGUAGCUAACGCUUUAAGUACCCCGCCUGGGGAGUACGGCCGCAAGGCUAAAACUCAAAGGAAUUGACGGGGCCCCGCACAAGCGGCGGAGCAUGCGGAUUAAUUCGAUGCAACGCGUAGAACCUUACCUGGGUUUGACAUGGAUCGGGAGUGCUCAGAGAUGGGUGUGCCUCUUUUGGGGUCGGUUCACAGGUGGUGCAUGGCUGUCGUCAGCUCGUGUCGUGAGAUGUUGGGUUAAGUCCCGCAACGAGCGCAACCCUUGUUCACUGUUGCCAGCACGUUAUGGUGGGGACUCAGUGGAGACCGCCGGGGUCAACUCGGAGGAAGGUGGGGAUGACGUCAAGUCAUCAUGCCCCUUAUGUCCAGGGCUUCACGCAUGCUACAAUGGCUGGUACAGAGAGUGGCGAGCCUGUGAGGGUGAGCGAAUCUCGGAAAGCCGGUCUCAGUUCGGAUUGGGGUCUGCAACUCGACCUCAUGAAGUCGGAGUCGCUAGUAAUCGCAGAUCAGCAACGCUGCGGUGAAUACGUUCCCGGG
rnacentral:rRNA from 1 species